AUGGCUGUCGUCAGCUCGUGUCGUGAGAUGUUGGGUUAAGUCCCGUAACGAGCGCAACCCCUUUUGCUAGUUACCAGCACGUAAUGGUGGGGACUCUAGCCAGACUGCCUACGCAAGUAGUGAGGAAGGUGGGGACGACGUCAAGUCAUCAUGGCCCUUACGCCCAGGGCUGCACGCAUGCUACAAUGGCCGGUACAAUGGGCUGCGAACCCGCGAGGGGGAGCUAAUCCUCAAAGCCGGCCUCAGUUCGGAUUGGAGUCUGCAACUCGACUCCAUGAAGCCGGAGUCGCUAGUAAUCGCAGAUCAGCAGUGCUGCGGUGAAUACGUUCCCGGGCCUUGUACACACCGCCCGU
rnacentral:rRNA from 1 species